CCUACGGGAGGCAGCAGUGGGGAAUAUUGGGCAAUGGGCGCAAGCCUGACCCAGCAACGCCGCGUGAAGGAAGAAGGCUUUCGGGUUGUAAACUUCUUUUCUCAUGGACGAAGCAAGUGACGGUACCUGAGGAAUAAGCCACGGCUAACUACGUGCCAGCAGCCGCGGUAAUACGUAGGUGGCAAGCGUUAUCCGGAUUUACUGGGUGUAAAGGGCGUGUAGGCGGGGACGCAAGUCAGAUGUGAAAACCACGCGCUCAACCUGUGGCCUGCAUUUGAAACUGUGUUUCUUGAGUACUGGAGAGGCAGGCGGAAUUCCUGGUGUAGCGGUGAAAUGCGUAGAUAUUAGGAGGAACACCAGUGGCGAAGGCGGUCUUCUGGACCGCAACUGACGCUGAGGCGCGAAAGCGUGGGUAGCAAACAGGAUUAGAUACCCGAGUAGUC
rnacentral:rRNA from 1 species